rnacentral:rRNA from 1 species
UACAGAGGUCUCAAGCGUUGUUCGGAUUCAUUGGGCGUAAAGGGCGCGUAGGCGGCGAGGUAAGUCGGGUGUGAAAUCUCAGAGCUCAACUCUGAAACUGCACUCGAUACUGCUUUGCUAGAGGACUGGAGAGGAGAUUGGAAUUCACGGUGUAGCAGUGAAAUGCGUAGAGAUCGUGAGGAAGACCAGUGGCGAAGGCGGAUCUCUGGACAGCUCCUGACGCUGAGGCGCGAAGGCCAGGGGAGCAAACGGG